UUGGAGGGAUAGCUCAAUCGGUAGAGCAUAAGGCUCUUAAUCUCAGGGUUGUGGGUUUGAGCCCCACAUUGGGCAAAA